UGUGCUGAUGAGUUUGCUCAGACUAGAGUCUCUGAGAUGCUCUUGAUGUCUCUUUAAAGCUCUGAGCA